GUCGCGGUAGCUCAAUUGGAUAGAGCAGCGGCCUUCUAAGCCGCAGGUUACGGGUUCGAUUCCUGUCCGCGACGCCA
rnacentral:tRNA from 1 species